UAAUACUCUCUGCCAAGUAUGUUUAUCUUCGUAGUGAUGAUGGGAUCUGUUGAACUAGUGUUGUAAUGAUCUCACCCGUCUAGUUCCCAUUUUCAUAUGUACAUGAAUAGUCUUUCACUACUUCCUCCCCUCUUUUUCACUAAUUUCUCUUACUUUUACUACAUGUUGGUCUCGUUUUCGCAGGAGCAUCAAACUAGCCCACACUCACGGUUCCCUUACGUCAUUACCUAAGUUGUUCUAGGGGAUGUUGUUUAGCUAAAUGUUUCCAUUACACUGCGACGAAAAAAUAGAAAAAAAAAUAUAAAAACGUCGGGGUGCACUAGGAGGACGGAUCAAGAGGUCACUCAUUUUAGUACUACUCUCGGCCAAGUAUGUUUAUCUUUGGAGUGAUGAUGGGAUCGGGU
rnacentral:lncRNA from 1 species